CAAUAGCGUAUAUUUAAGUUGUUGCAGUUAAAAAGCUCGUAGUUGGAUUUCGGAUGGGAUUUGCCGGUCCGUCGUUACGAUGUGCACUGGCCAGUCCUAUCUUGUUGUCGGGGACUAGCUCCUUGGAUUCACUUCCUGGGACUAGGAGCUGACGAGGUUACUUUGAGUAAAUUAGAGUGUUCAAAGCAAGCCUACGCUCUGAAUACAUUAGCAUGGAAUAACACGAUAGGACUCUGGCUUAUCUUGUUGGUCUGUGAGACCAGAGUAAUGAUUAAGAGGGACAGUCGGGGACAUUCGUAUUUCAUUGUCAGAGGUGAAAUUCUUGGGUUUAUGAAAGACGAACUUCUGCGAAAGCAUUUGUCAAGGAUGUUUUCAUUAA
rnacentral:rRNA from 1 species